CGGAGCUUUGCCGCGUGCUUCGAUAUAAAAUUCAACUGUUCCAAAUACCGAAUAGUACCUGAGGGUGAUAAAGCUGAAACGGAGGACUUUAAAAGCUGAGGUGUUGAUUGAAGAACCUGCCACGUUAGAAGGACUGGAAAGCAACGAUGGACGGGAAACAGGCCGAAGAAGCAGGAGGCGUCGUUUGGCAGCUCAAACAGGAAAAUGCUACACUCCGAGAGCAGUCGGAAGAAAUGGGCCGGGAGAAUGAGAAACUGAGAUCGGAUCUGCGUAAAG